rnacentral:misc_RNA from 1 species
UAUCCGUAGGUGAACCUGCGGAGGGAUCAUUAAUGAGUUGUCAUGGGGUUCGAUGCUGGCAGCCAAUUUUUGGAUGCAUGUGCUCGCCCUAACAAUCAUCUUCCAAACACCUGUGCACAUUUUUGAGGGAGUCUUGAGUUGGUUGCCGCUCUUGGGUGAUUUUCUCACAUUCCCUUAAAUCAUUAUACGCUAUUAACAAUGUUGAUCGUGCUCUGUGCCGCAAGGCUAUUAAUAUAAUACAACUUUUAACAACGGAUCUCUUGGCUCUC